AAACACAGCACUGCACCAGCUACCAAGAAGGAGAAAAAUGACUGCUACUGCUGAACCCAGGACAAAAUGCUAUAAACUUAAUUUAAAAGGCAAGUACAUCCCACUGGACAUACUUUAAGCCCAGGCAAAGCUGACAAUAAAAGCUAGAGAAACAGCCAAGGAAAAUUAGGUCUAGGUUAUCCAUUAAACAAUAUUCACUUUAUUGUAUUUAUUAUAAAGUACAUUACCUAAGCAUUUUAACAUAGAUAAGUUCUACCAAUAGUUGGUGGAAUACUACAGAGAGCUAAACAAAAAAACAUUUUAUCUACCCCAGUACAAGAUGUAUGUAGAUUUCUUCCAGGAAGGGCCACAAGCAAUAUUACUUUGUGUUACUGGUUGAUUUUGGCAUAGCUAUAGCAACAGCCAUAUGGGAGGCAUGUGGAGCUGCACAUGGCGAAGUCGUGUUAUUACCAGGAUCUCAUUUGAUGUGGCUACUCUCCAAGAGUUCUGACUUAGAUCAACUAAAACCAUUAACUUUCAAAAUACAAUCAGUGUGAUCAUAUUUUUUU